CCUUCACAUUCCUGAAUCAGAUACAACAGAAUAUUAUGUUACUACGAAAUGGGAUGCUGAUAGGAAAUGUCAGUCGCACGUCUCUGAACUCCCCCUCUAUAUACUGAUCAGGAUUAUGACAUUCACAUGAUUUGUUAGUGACUUUUGCUGGAUCAGUAAUUAGCAAAAAUUUUCUCUCUCCGAUGUCAGGAUAGUUUGGA
rnacentral:lncRNA from 1 species